GAGGCUGGAGCCUCCACAUCUAUGACUCUGCAAUUGGGUGGCCUGUGCUCUGUUCUUAUCCAUCUCUGCCUCUUCUUUCCAUGGCCUUGCAGAGCCCCAUGAAUCCACACCCUCUCUCUCGCCCCAGUGUCUCAAAAUCCCUUAAUAGGACACAAAAAUAUAUAUCAAACCUCAUGUCUUGUAGCUCUGGUCCCAAAUAAUUGUGUGUAGAACCAGACACGAGCUGCCUAACUUACUUUUCUUUUGAGUGAGAUAACGAAGAAGACAGGAGGAACGUGAGAAAGGGAUGGGAUCCGUCCAUUGAUACUUGCAAUAAAAAAACAACCUUUUACUUGGUUUCGCUUUUAAAAGGAUUGUGAAGGUACACCGCCAUCAGUUUUUCCCGUCAUCUUCAGCACUGGAGGCUCGCCCUGAAGAGGGAGUCCCUGAAUAUGAUGAUACAGUUUAAGUCCGAUGGCAAGAAAAUUGAUUUCUUUUAUGAAGCACUCAAAUUUUUGUACCUUUCAUGUUCAAUCUAUG
rnacentral:lncRNA from 1 species